CCGCGAAUAGCUCAUUACAAUAGCCGUUGUUUCUUGGAUCCUCAAUUUACUUGGAUACCUGUGGUAAUUCUAGAGCUAAUACAUGCGACUAAGGGCCGAACUCACGUGACGCUUGCAUUUAUUAGAUCAAGACUAACCGGCUUCGGCCGUUAACUUGGUGACUCUGAAUAACUCAGCUGAUCGCACGGUCUAGUGCCGGCGACAUAUCUUUCAAGUGUCUACCUUAUCAACUGUCGAUGGUAGUUUAUGUGACUACCAUGGUUGUAACGGGUAACGGAGAAUCAGGGUUUGACUCCGGAGAGGGAGCCUGAGAAACGGCUACCACUUCUAAGGAAGGCAGCAGGCGCGCAAAUUACACAAUCUCAGCACGAGGAUGUAGUGACGAAACAUACCGAGGCGAUGCCCUUUCGGGUGUCGUCAUUGGAAUGAGUCGAAUCUAAAAAAUUCGGCAAGGAUCUAGUGGAGGGCAAGUCUGGUGCCAGCAGCCGCGGUAAUUCCAGCUCCGCAAGUGUAUAUCUAUGCUGUUGCGGUUAAAAAGCUCGUAGUUUGAUUCGCGUACUUAGCACGCAGUGUGGCCUUUCGGCUACUACUGUGAUGCGGUACAUUAUCGUCAGUUUGUCGUUGAUGCUCUUCAUUGGGUGUCAGCGGCGGCUGUCAAGUUUACUUUGAACAAAUUAAAGUGCUCAAUACAGGCGUUUCGCUUGUAUAGUUCUGCAUGGAAUAAUAGAAUAGGACUUACGUUCUAUUGUGUUGGUUUUCAGAACGAAAGUAAUGAUUAAGAGGGACAGACGGGGUCAUUCGUACUGCCACGUUAGAGGUGAAAUUCUUGGAUCGUGGCAAGACGAACUACUGCGAAAGCAUUUGACAAGAAUGUUUUCAUUAAUCAAGAACGAAAGNAUGGUC
rnacentral:rRNA from 1 species